UCUCUGUUCUCUCUCUUUCCCUCUCCACUCACUCUGGAUGUGCUCCUUAAUUUUUCUCUCUCUUCCCCUCUUCACUCAGUCUCGAUCUGCUUCUUCGAAUGCCGCAUCCUGCCGUCGCUGCUGAAGAACCAAAUUUUCAAGCCUUCUCUCACGAACGGUUCGUUGAUGUCGUUAUAUCUGAAGAGCAAAGCUAAGGCAGAAAAAAAUCAAGCGAUGGAACACUCAAUGAGUGAAAUCAGUUAUGUGCAAUUGAGAAGCUCACUUUUGAACCGCCACCUAUUUAUUGUACUCGAUGUGGUGCUCGAAUAAAACGAAAUGCGAUGUAUUACACUGUUGGAGCUGGUGAUACACGUCACUCUUUUUGUAUUCCAUGUUGUAAUGAAGCGCGUGGUGAUACAAUUGCUAUUGACGAAACUGCAAUUCCCAAGAUUAAGCUGGAUAAAAAGAAAAAUGAUGAAGAGACAGAAGAAUGGUGGGUGCAAUGUGAUAAAUGUGAAGCCUAGCAGCAUCAGAUAUGUGCGUUGUUUAAUGGAAGACGGAAUGAUGGUGGUCAAGCUGAAUACACAUGUCCUUAUUGCUAUAUGCAAGAGAUUGAAAGGGGAGAGCGUAAGCCAUUGCCGUAAAGUGUCGUUCUUGGGGCAAAAGAUUUGCCAAAAACGAUUCUCAGUGACCACAUUGAGCAACGGCUAUUCAAAAGAUUGAAACAAGAGAGACUAGAUAGGGCGAGAGUCUCUCCGUACAUUUGUUUAUCAUGAAAUCUUGGAAGAAUGUAUCUGUAGAAGCCCUAACAAUUGAAUCCGAACCUAAGCAAGAGGACAGUUGCACUCGUGAACCUUCAAAGCUUCGAAUGGAAAUCUUAGAUGUUCCCGGGGUAUUUGAAGCUAACGAAAUGAGCAAGAAAAAUAGCAUUGCAAGUGUACCCAAGAAGGUUUCAUACAACUUCUUAUUACUUUUUUCGUUUUCUUAAGGUGACUUUUUCAUCUUAGCUUACUAGCACCCCAUGUGCUGCAAUAUAGUCUUGACUUGUUUAAAUUUGUUGGCUUUACAUUUAUUUGCUGAUCUGAAGCAACUAGCUACCAUUACAGCUCGCUCUGUCGGUCCACAAGCAAGGUCUUUCUCGCGGGCCAAAAGUAUUUAUUCCACUCGCUUUGUCUCUCUCUACAAUUGCUGCUUGAAAGUUAUCUUUUUUUUUGUUUACUCAUCGAUAAAGAAAGUAGCUUGUGGUCUUUAAUUAUAUUUAUACCUUGGUUUUAGAAGUAGCUUUUGCUUGUUACUUUAUUGAUAUUUUUCCUUAUUCGAGAAGGCAGGUUGGGCUCCAUAAAUUGCUUUUCUUAAGAAAUCGCAAAACUCUUUCAUCUCGAAUUUGCUCAUAUUUACUUGCUGAUAGGUUUCAGUAGUUAUUCGAGAAGGGGCAAAUCUUGUCAGUCUAAGAGUUGGGAAGAAGAUACUCCACCAAAGAGACCUGUGUAUGCCACAGCAGGAGGAAGAUACAUGACUUAGAUACUAGCUUGUGUUUUUAUCGCUCAUUAAGAUGAUUUCUGGGUUCUUUUGCUUUCACAGUUAGCGGGAGGUCUUGCUGGUGAGACUCCACAUAUGAUUAGUGUUGCUGUGAAAGGCUUGGCUUAUGAAUUUUCUGAUCUUCUUUCAAGUGCAUACAGUCUGUUGCCCUCCUCGAUUCUUCUUCUUCAGAGGAAGAACAAAGAGAUCAUUAAAGCUAAUUUGGGUCUACUUAAGGUGUUGGUUGCAAAAUAACAAUCUGAGAACCUGCAGAGUCACCUAACUAGUGGGACGAUUAGUCAUUUUUUAUUAUUCACAGUAAUUUUUUAUUAUUCAUAUGGGAUCUGUAAUAUUCAGGAACAAAAAUAUUAGAAAUAUAACUCUUUACCUAUAUAUAAUUUAUUAUGUAUUAAUUUAGUGUAAAAAAAAAAUUUUAAAAUUUUUUUUUUAUAUUUUUUUUGGCCUCAAAUGCUCCGGUUUUCCCUAAAAACCGGAGCAUUUGUGUUGCCAAACGCUUCGGUUGCAACCGGAGCAUUUGUAAGAGUCUCAAAUGCUCGUAUGGCAUCUGCUACGCAUGCAACACGGAGCAUUUGUGGCUUAAAAAACCGGAGCAAUUGAGGUUUUUUCUACUAGCAUGUCUUACUCAUAUUCCUAAACCUCACACAAUUCAUUUGUUCUCAGUUUGACAAGAUCAAGCAACUGAGAAUCCAGUACUGCAUUGACAUUGUUAUGAGCAAAGUCAACAACCGUGCUACCUGGGUUGCUGAUUCUGCCAAGGCGCAAGCUAAAGGGAAGUCCAAACACACAUAGAUUACUAAACCAAACAUCUGAUUCCCCCGCACCCCAACCAUUUCUAGAAUUA